UAUUAGUAGGACUGAGACUCAAUUCCCACCAUUAUUAACAUCACAACUUUCUCAGGUGCAUCAACCAUCUCAUCUUGGUUAUUUUCCGACAAAUUACUUGGAAUAAUGCUACAAAGGAUAAUCUACAAGAGAAUGGUUGCUGGCAGAUAAUUUACAAG